ensembl:lncRNA
AGAAAAUCAGAGAAAUCAAAUGUUACAUAUCAUUUUCAUAUCUGCAAAAUAAAAUAAAUACAAUUGAUACAUUUAUUUUAAAAAUGAAAUAUUUGUAUUCUCUCUUCUAUCACAAUUGAUUAUUUAUCAGGUCAAAUUUACUGCUUCACUCAACUUUUCUCUUAAAUUUCUAAUUAUUAGAAUCACAAUUUUUGAGUUUGACAAUCUGUUUUUUUUUUUUUGGAGGGGGGGUUAAAGUCGUCUGUUUUACUCAUCCCAUUCUACACACUUUGCCAGUUGCUGUAUUCCGUUUUAGUCACCAAAAUGGUGUUUUGCUUCUUUUGCUUUGAUCAUCCGACGCUUCAGUCUCGGGAGCGCUUUCAAACUCCUUCUGCGUUACGAAAAAGUGGACACGGACUGUUUGCAGUUAUGGGAGACUGUAUAUUUUGACCUCUUUCUACACUUUACAUUCUUCAUCGAAAAACCUGACGGAUGCAAAUGCUGUUGUUCGUGCCGGGUUUUAAUUGUGUCGAUCCUGCUGCUUUGGCUCUUUGCAUAUGUAAUAAAACUACUUUUCUUUUCACCCCCUGAGCUCUAAAUUUCUAGCUCUUAGUUUCAGUUUCUGCGUCGCCUUUUUCUGGCUUCAACAACUUUGUUCCAUUUCUCAUUCUCUGGCAUAAUUACAGCUUUAUAGCAUUCUCCACCGCUCGGGCAUGCUGUAGAUAUCACCCCCUCCCUUCUUCUCUGUCUCACUCUUUUUUCUUUUUUCUUUUUUUUGGUCUUUUUUGGUUUGGCUCUCAUUAAUAAUUCACAGAAAGAGACUGGGAAAUUUUAGUGCAAUUUGCAGCUGCUGAAUCCCAGUUAUUGUUUUGCAGGGUGUUGCACACAGAGAGAAAACCUCGGACGAAGGCUUUGUAGCCCUGAAUGUAAUUUGGCUGCAUGUAUCUGACAGGCCUCACAUCAUUAGUGGGAGGUGAAGUAGAUGCAGUGGGGGAAGCUUUGUCCAGACAGUCAAACACACUGUCCUCAUCUGUCGCUCCAAAGCCCCAACACUCUGUUUCCUUAAUGCUUUUAGAUGCUGUUUGUUCAUAUUUAGGCCUGAUAACUAUCUAUGUUUUAUUCCGUUUGUUUGCAUCCGACCAGGCAGACGCUGAAUUAUUCAAAGUGGGCCGAACGCAAAGAGGAAACUUCGGGCUGCUUUUCUUUUAAAAAGCAAAGACCACAAGCUACUUUAAAGAGCCACAAAGAACAACAAUGGAUGGUUUUAUCUAAAAAAUGUUCUUUAGAGCAUCCUAAAACCAUUGUUCUUCAUUUUUCUUUAGCAUGUCUGAGCUAAAAAAAAAAAAAUCGAAUAAAAAUGCGAAUAAAGUGCACUGAAAAACAUCCAGACUGAUGCGUCUCUAUCUGACAAAUCAGCAGGUGAAAGAUGAGAAUCAAACUUUUAAACCUCAAGUGUUACCUGUUGAAAAUCCAGCCAUCAACAGGACCCGUGACCUGACAGUAUGUUUAAAACUAAUUGAUUCAAGCAAUGGGCCAAGCACGUAUCAUUUUAUGCUUUCCUUUCAUUUCAAAUGGUAUUCUUUAGGUCUUACAUACCUCAAUCAAUACACUGUAAGAUAUAAACGGUUUACAUUUAAUUUUGCCCACGUAAAGUUCUCAAAAAAUAAAUCAACAAAAUUCCAUCAACUUGGCUCACUUUCCUUACACUUAGUUGAGCAAAAAAAAAUCACCAUACCGUUACACCAUAUGGCUGUUUUAACAAGUGCCUGGUCUUAUAGGUCACAAUAUACCAUCAUGUAAAGGCAGUAUAUGAAAAGGUAAAGAACGUUUGAACAUGUCGUCAUAAAUUUGGUAAUUUUAAC